rnacentral:rRNA from 1 species
GACGAACGCUGGCGGCGUGCUUAACACAUGCAAGUCGAGCGGUAAGGCCCUUUCGGGGUACGACGAGCGGCGAACGGGUGAGUAACACGUGGGUGACCUGCCCUCCAGCUCUGGGAUAAGCCUGGGAAACUGGGUCGUAAUACCGGAUAUGACUCCAUGACGCAUGUUGUGGGGUGGAAAGCCUUGUGCGGCUGAGGAUGGGCCCGCGGCCUAUCAGCUUGUUGGUGGGGUGAUGGCCUACCAAGGCGACGACGGGUAGCCGGCCUGAGAGGGCGACCGGCCACACUGGGACUGAGACACGGCCCAGACUCCUACGGGAGGCAGCAGUGGGGAAUCUUGCGCAAUGGGCGAAAGCCUGACGCAGCGACGCCGCGUGAGGGAUGACGGCCU